rnacentral:lncRNA from 1 species
UGUCACAUGCUAAGACUAGUUAUUAUUUUACAUGUGCCAUUGUGGCUCCCUUUUUUAAAGAUAGUUUAUCAAAAAUUUUUUUCUAAUUUUUUUUCUUUCACUAUUUCUUCUACACAUCAGCCACCGGGAAAAAUUCCCAGCCAUCACUGGACUGACUCAACCAGCCAUGAACUUUCAUAAAAUUCAUUUCAUCUUUCACUUCUAGCAAAAUUCAUACCUCAAGUCAAUGAGUCGAUGGCUAGCUACUAAAAUUUUGUCAAGGCCGGUGAAAUUAUGUCAAAGAAAGAUACGAAUGGUAAAAUCAGAAAGGGAAGAAGUCGGAUUGCAUAAGUAGAAUUUUCCAACCAAAAUUCAUCAAUCUUCUGAUAGUCUUUCUCUUUUCUCUUGUUGUCUUCCAAUUUAAGAUCGACACAAAAAGGGGAGAGGGAUUUAAAGUAUAAGAAAGAAUUGACAAUUUUCUUUUUUUAUUGUUUUACUUUAUUUUUCAUUACUAUUGGGCGUGGGAACAAAAAGAGGAAGAAGCGGGAAA